UUCAUGGGAACUUGAGGAACACAGGGAAUUCUUGUUCAAUAAUGAACGCAAUGCGGCUUGGAAAAGACUCUUGGUAGACACGAACAAAAAAGUAUAGCCAGAGCAGCCUUCAGAAAUCAUUCCUGCAGUUUUUGGAAGCGUUUCUCAAGGUCUGAAUGGAGGCUGUGAAGUUACUAACAAAAUGAACAGGCUCUGCUUUUCAUAAUUGGCUUCAUGACUGUGGGUUUUGGCAACAACUCUAGAGGAACACAGGGCCCGGAAGAGGGGCACAAUGAAGCCACUCACUGUAAUAACUUAAGCAACAACAAUGCACCUUUUCAGAUUAAUGCCAAGAAAAUAUAUGCAGAAGAGACACCCAUGUCAUUGAACAAGAGGUUCUAAUAUUACAUAACAGGGUAGUGGUAUGUAGCUGUAGUGGUAUGUGCUCUCUCUCAAUGCUGAGCUGCAGCUCCCAGUCAGCCACUGGAUCAUGAGGGUAAAAUACGGAUACUUGACAUCUUCUUAAAGAACAUCAUGCCUGCUAAGCCAUCCAGUUUGGAUGCCCCAGUGCCUUCCACCAGCCAUUCUCAAGCCUCAUUAGAAGAGAGAGAUUGAUGACCCUGUAGCUGCAGCAUCCCAUCAUCCUGCAUUUUAGUUCAAUGCUUCAAACGUUCUUCAGGCCCAGUGUGCUUUCAGCUGUGUAUGUUAAUGGGAGAGUGAGCAAGUUUCGUCCUUGUGCCUGCAUCUGCUGGGAAACGAUAAGAGCCCAACAUAUGUUAGAAGCAACAAUCGCAGACAAAGAGUACAACUUGUUUUUGAAGACUCAAACUGAAACACUGGCCCUUCCUGAGUCUCAAGCCUGCUGGCCUUUGGGCUGGAACUAAACCCUCAGCUCUCCUGUGUCUCCAACCUGCCCGCUCUGCCUAGUGAUCUUGGGACUUCCCAGACUUUAUAAUCAUGUGCAUCUCCUGCUGUUCCCAAUCUACUCAUCCUAGGAACCAACUCAGGCUACAAACCUGUACAGCAUGUGAUUCUACUGAAUAUACGGGCAAUUGUUAACACAAUGAUGUGAUGACUGAUUUCCAGCAGCUGAAGGGAAGUCUUUUGGAUUAACUUUUGUGAUUGAUUUGCUCUGGGUUCAGUCAGCCUGCAAGG
rnacentral:lncRNA from 1 species